GAUGAACGCUGGCUACAGGCUUAACACAUGCAAGUCGAGGGGAAACGACGGGGAAGCUUGCUUCCCCGGGCGUCGACCGGCGCACGGGUGAGUAACGCGUAUCCAACCUGCCUCUGACUGAGGGAUAACCCGUCGAAAGUCGGCCUAAUACCUCAUGGCAUCGUCUUCGGGCAUCCAACGACGAUUAAAGAUUUCAUCGGUCAGGGAUGGGGAUGCGUCUGAUUAGCUAGUUGGCGGGGUAACGGCCCACCAAGGCGACGAUCAGUAGGGGUUCUGAGAGGAAGGUCCCCCACAUUGGAACUGAGACACGGUCCAAACUCCUACGGGAGGCAGCAGUGAGGAAUAUUGGUCAAUGGGCGAGAGCCUGAACCAGCCAAGUAGCGUGCAGGAUGACGGCCCUAUGGGUUGUAAACUGCUUUUAUGCGGGGAUAAAGUGAGGGACGUGUCCUUCAUUGCAGGUACCGCAUGAAUAAGGACCGGCUAAUUCCGUG
rnacentral:rRNA from 1 species